UGCUCUGUUCUGAGAUGGGUGAGGAGGUGAAAGCAAUUGUUUCCGAGUCUGUGCUUAAAGAAGCAGAAGAGGGAGGAGGAAUGGGCCUUGAAGAAAAAGGAGGAGUUUAAUGCUGCAAAGAAGAAGAGAGUUGAGAGCCGCAAGCUCAUUUACAGGAGGGCAAAGUAAUAUGCAAAGAAAUACCAGGAGCAGGUUUAAAUCUUGACCUUCAAACUUUUAAUGAUGAUGAAGAUAUGAAAAGUGAUCAAGAAUAAUGAUUGAAGACUUUUUUGAUGCAAUUUCUUUAUUAUACUAUUAAAUUUGUAGAGAUGAAACAUUAAUUUUUUUUUUAAUUUCAAGUUAUUUGAC